GGACGAACGCUGGCGGCGUGCUUAACACAUGCAAGUCGAACGAUGAAGCGGUGCUUGCACCGUGGAUUAGUGGCGAACGGGUGAGUAAUACGUGAGUGACCUACCUUUGACUCUGGGAUAAGCCUGGGAAACUGGGUCUAAUACCGGAUACGACCAAUCUCUGCAUGGGGUGUUGGUGGAAAGCGUUAUGGAGUGGUUUUAGAUGGGCUCACGGCCUAUCAGCUUGUUGGUGAGGUAAUGGCUUACCAAGGCGACGACGGGUAGCCGGCCUGAGAGGGUGACCGGCCACACUGGGACUGAGACACGGCCCAGACUCCUACGGGAGGCAGCAGUGGGGAAUAUUGCACAAUGGGCGCAAGCCUGAUGCAGCGACGCCGCGUGAGGGAUGACGGCCUUCGGGUUGUAAACCUCUGUUAGCAUCGAAGAAGCGAAAGUGACGGUAGGUGCAGAGAAAGCGCCGGCUAACUACGUGCCAGCAGCCGCGGUAAUACGUAGGGCGCGAGCGUUGUCCGGGAAUUAUUGGGCGUAAAGAGCUUGUAGGCGGUUGGUCGCGUCUGCUGUGAAAGGCCGGGGCUUAACUCCGGUUUUGCAGUGGGUACGGGCUAACUAGAGUGCAGUAGGGGAGACUGGAAUUCCUGGUGUAGCGGUGGAAUGCACAGAUAUCAGGAGGAACACCGAUGGCGGAGGCAGGUCUCUGGGCUGUAACUGACGCUGAGAAGCGAAAGCAUGGGGAGCGAACAGGAUUAGAUACCCUGGUAGUCCAUGCCGUAAACGUUGGGCACUAGGUGUGGGGGACAUUCCACGUUUUCCGCGCCGUAGCUAACGCAUUAAGUGCCCCGCCUGGGGAGUACGGCCGCAAGGCUAAAACUCAAAGGAAUUGACGGGGGCCCGCACAAGCGGCGGAGCAUGCGGAUUAAUUCGAUGCAACGCGAAGAACCUUACCAAGGCUUGACAUGCAUUAGAUCGCGUCAGAGAUGGCGUUUCCCUUCAGGGCUGGUGUACAGGUGGUGCAUGGUUGUCGUCAGCUCGUGUCGUGAGAUGUUGGGUUAAGUCCCGCAACGAGCGCAACCCUCGUUCUAUGUUGCCAGCGGUUCGGCCGGGGACUCAUAGGAGACUGCCGGGGUUAACUCGGAGGAAGGUGGGGAUGACGUCAAAUCAUCAUGCCCCUUAUGUCUUGGGCUUCACGCAUGCUACAAUGGCCGGUACAGAGGGUUGCGGUACUGUGAGGUGGAGCUAAUCCCUUAAAGCCGGUCUCAGUUCGGAUUGGGGUCUGCAACUCGACCCCAUGAAGUCGGAGUCGCUAGUAAUCGCAGAUCAGCAACGCUGCGGUGAAUACGUUCCCGGGCC
rnacentral:rRNA from 1 species